rnacentral:rRNA from 1 species
GACGAACGCUGACGGCGUGCUUAACACAUGCAAGUCGAGCGGAAAGGCCCUUCAGGGUACUCGAGCGGCGAACGGGUGAGUAACACGUGAGUAACCUGCCCCAGACUUUGGGAUAACCCUCGGAAACGGGGGCUAAUACCGGAUACGACACAGCUUCGCAUGGGGUCUGUGUGGAAAGUUUUUCGGUUUGGGAUGGGCUCGCGGCCUAUCAGCUUGUUGGUGGGGUGAUGGCCUACCAAGGCGACGACGGGUAGCCGGCCUGAGAGGGCGACCGGCCACACUGGGACUGAGACACGGCCCAGACUCCUACGGGAGGCAGCAGUGGGGAAUAUUGCACAAUGGGCGGAAGCCUGAUGCAGCGACGCCGCGUGAGGGAUGACGGCCUUCGGGUUGUAAACCUCUUUCAGCAGGGACGAAGCGUAAGUGACGGUACCUGCAGAAGAAGCGCCGGCCAACUACGUG